UCCUGGUUUCCCAGGCAGUCCCAUCAGAGUGCCUUCUUGCGAAGUAGCAACUGAUAGCAGGGGUUGCGCUCGUUAUAGGACUUAACCCAACAUCUCACGACACGAGCUGACGACAGCCAUGCAGCACCUGUGCAAAUGUCCAGAGUUACCCCUGAAAAGCUACAUCUCUGUAGCGGUCAUAUGCAUGUCAAACCUAGGUAAGGUUCCUCGCGUAGUGUCGAAUUAAACCACAUGUUCCACCGCUUGUGCGGACCCCCGUCAAUUCCUUUGAGUUUUAAUCUUGCGACCGUAGUCCCCAGGCGGAUCACUUAUCGCGUUAGCUACGACACUAGUCUCGCAAAGCAAGACUAACGUCUAGUGAUCAUCGUUUACAGCGUGGACUAC
rnacentral:misc_RNA from 1 species